GAAUGGUUGAUCUCCAUUCGUAGAUGUUAUCACCUUUGGGGCCAGCACUGCAGUUGGGAGGUGGAUCUAAGGUGAUGUCAGCCAAUUCCUUCUGAAUCCUCUUGGCACUGGUAGAUAGCAGCUUAGAGUUUUUACUCAUGCUGACUUUGCUUUCCUUCUUCUUAGGUGUGCUUGUCUCUUUCUCUGUCUGUUGGUUGGAGGAUGAAGAUGAGGAGGAGCUGGUGCUGGCCCUCGAAUCGUCAUCCGACAUAGCGACCCCCCCACCACAACCCCAACCUGGAGAGGAGACACCACGGGGCGUGGGGAACAAACAGUGAACACAAACACACACAGAGAAAGGCAGCUGAUAAUCUCGCUCUGUGUUCGGGCUAUACUCCCUUUAAAGGGUCCUCGUGUCUCCCUCUCCUCCUCAG
rnacentral:lncRNA from 1 species